GGUUGUAGCUCAGUGGUAGAGGGCUUGCCUAGCAUGUGUGAGGCACUGGGUUCAAUCCUCAGCACCA
rnacentral:tRNA from 1 species